UGUACAUAUACUGUGAGAGUCCUAUCAUUCUUUUAGAUCUAUCUCUAUAUAUCUUUAUAUCAAGAAUGCAAGAAGUUUCUCCUAGGCCUUUCAUGGUAAAUUCUUUCGACAACCAUACUUUGACCGAUGUCAGCAUAUGUCAGCAUGAGAAUAUCAUUCCUAAUCAGGAAGAUGUCAUCCACGUAUAAUACAAAAAAUGUGACAGCACUCCCACU
rnacentral:lncRNA from 1 species